rnacentral:rRNA from 1 species
AGACCCGAAACCCGGUGAUCUAGCCAUGGGCAGGUUGAAGGUUGGGUAACACUAACUGGAGGACCGAACCGACUAAUGUUGAAAAAUUAGCGGAUGACCUGUGGCUGGGGGUGAAAGGCCAAUCAAACCGGGAGAUAGCUGGUUCUCCCCGAAAGCUAUUUAGGUAGCGCCUCGUGAAUUCAUCUCCGGGGGUAGAGCACUGUUUCGGCUAGGGGGCCAUCCCGGCUUACCAACCCGAUGCAAACUGCGAAUACCGGAGAAUGUUAUCACGGGAGACACACGGCGGGUGCUAACGUCCGUCGUGAAGAGGGAAACAACCCAGACCGCCAGCUAAGGUCCCAAAGUCAUGGUUAAGUGGGAAACGAUGUGGGAAGGCCCAGACAGCCAGGAUGUUGGCUUAGAAGCAGCCAUCAUUUAAAGAAAGCGUAAUAGCUCACUGGUCGAGUCGGCCUGCGCGGAAGAUGUAACGGGGCUAAACCAUGCACCGAAGCUGCGGCAGCGACACUCAGGUGUUGUUGGGUAGGGGAGCGUUCUGUAAGCCUGUGAAGGUGGCCUGUGAGGGUUGCUGGAGGUAUCAGAAGUGCGAAUGCUGACAUAAGUAACGAUAAAGCGGGUGAAAAGCCCGCUCGCCGGAAGACCAAGGGUUCCUGUCCAACGUUAAUCGGGGCAGGGUGAGUCGACCCCUAAGGCGAGGCCGAAAGGCGUAGUCGAUGGGAAACGGGUUAAUAUUCCCGUACUUGGUGUUACUGCGAA